rnacentral:rRNA from 1 species
CUUUCCCUCUUUCUUUAUGCCUAACACAUGCAAGUCGAACGGCAGCACAGUAAGAGCUUGCUCUUACGGGUGGCGAGUGGCGGACGGGUGAGGAAUACAUCGGAAUCUACUUUUUCGUGGGGGAUAACGUAGGGAAACUUACGCUAAUACCGCAUACGACCUACGGGUGAAAGCAGGGGAUCUUCGGACCUUGCGCGAUUGAAUGAGCCGAUGUCGGAUUAGUUAGUUGGCGGGGUAAAGGCCCACCAAGGCGACGAUCCGUAGCUGGUCUGAGAGGAUGAUCAGCCACACUGGAACUGAGACACGGUCCAGACUCCUACGGGAGGCAGCAGUGGGGAAUAUUGGACAAUGGGCGCAAGCCUGAUCCAGCCAUACCGCGUGGGUGAAGAAGGCCUUCGGGCUGUAAAGCCCUUUUGUUGGGAAAGAAAAGCAGCAGGUUAAUACCCCGCUGUUCUGACGGUACCCAAAGAAUAAGCACCGGCUAACUUCGUG